rnacentral:rRNA from 1 species
CAAGUCGAACGAGAAAGUGGAGCAAUCCAUGAGUAAAGUGGCGACCGGGUGAGUAACACGUGACUAACCUACCCUCGAGUGGGGAAUAACUCCGGGAAACCGGGGCUAAUACCGCAUAACACCGAGAGGUCAAAGGAGCAAUUCGCUUGAGGAGGGGGUCGCGGCUGAUUAGCUAGUUGGUAGGGUAACGGCCUACCAAGGCAAAGAUCAGUAUCCGGCCUGAGAGGGCGCACGGACACACUGGAACUGAAACACGGUCCAGACUCCUACGGGAGGCAGCAGUGGGGAAUUUUGCGCAAUGGGGGAAACCCUGACGCAGCAACGCCGCGUGGAGGAUGAAGUCCCUUGGGAUGUAAACUCCUUUCGAUCGGGACGAUUAUGACGGUACCGGAAGAAGAAGCACCGGCUAACUCUGUGCCAGCAGCCGCGGUAAUACAGAGGGUGCAAGCGUUGUUCGGAAUUAUUGGGCGUAAAGGGCGCGUAGGCGGUGCGGUAAGUCUGUAGUGAAAUCUCUGGGCUCAACUCAGAGUCUGCUAUAGAAACUGCCGUGCUUGAGUGUGGGAGAGGUGAGUGGAAUUCCCGGUGUAGCGGUGAAAUGCGUAGAUAUCGGGAGGAACACCUGUGGCGAAAGCGGCUCACUGGACCACAACUGACGCUGAGGCGCGAAAGCUAGGGGAGCAAACAGGAUUAGAUACCCUGGUAGUCCUAGCCCUAAACGAUGAUCGCUUGGUGUAUUGGGUACCCAAUCCCAAUGUGCCGAAGCUAACGCGAUAAGCGAUCCGCCUGGGGAGUACGGUCGCAAGACUGAAACUCAAAGGAAUUGACGGGGGCCCGCACAAGCGGUGGAGCAUGUGGUUCAAUUC